AUUGAACGCUGGCGGCAUGCCUUACACAUGCAAGUCGAACGGUAACAGGCCGCAAGGUGCUGACGAGUGGCGAACGGGUGAGUAAUGCAUCGGAACGUGCCCAGUCGUGGGGGAUAACUGCUCGAAAGAGCAGCUAAUACCGCAUACGACCCGAGGGUGAAAGCGGGGGACCGUAAGGCCUCGCGCGAUUGGGGCGGCCGAUGUCAGAUUAGCGAGUUGGUGGGGUAAAGGCCUACCAAGGCAACGAUCUGUAGUUGGUCUGAGAGGACGACCAGCCACACUGGGACUGAGACACGGCCCAGACUCCUACGGGAGGCAGCAGUGGGGAAUUUUGGACAAUGGGCGCAAGCCUGAUCCAGCAAUGCCGCGUGCAGGAAGAAGGCCUUCGGGUUGUAAACUGCUAUUGUCAGGGAAGAAAUCUUCUGGGCUACUACCCCGGGAGGAUGACAGUACCUGAAGAAUAAGCACCGGCUAACUACGUGCCAGCCGCCGCCGUAAAAC
rnacentral:rRNA from 1 species